rnacentral:lncRNA from 1 species
CUAAAUUGAAUUUUCCUUUUAGUCAGCAUUAGGGUUUUAAAACCCUAAACUGAACUUUUUUCCUUUCAGCCAGCAUUAGGGUUUUAAACCCUAAACUGAUCUUUUUCAUGCAAUCAGCAUUAGGGUUUUAAACCCUAAACUGAAUUUUCCUUUUAGUCAGCAUUAGGGUUUUAAACCCUAAACUGAACUUUUUCCUUUCAGCCAACAUUAGGGUUUUAAACCCUAAACUGAGCUUCUCCAUGCAAUCAGCAUUAGGGUUUUAAACCCUAAACUGAAUUUUCCUUUUAGUCAGCAUUAGGGUUUUAAACCCUAAACUGAACUUUUUCCUUUCAGCCAGCAUUAGGGGUUUUAAACCCUAAACUGGUUUCUCCAUGCAAUCAGCAUUAGGGUUUUAAACCCUAAACUGAAUUUUCCUUUUAGUCAGCAUUAGGGUUUUAAACCCUAAACUGAACUUUUUCCUUUCAGUCAACAUUAGGGUUUUAAACCCUAAACUGAGUUUUUCCAUGCAAUCAACAUUAGGGUUUUAAACCCUAAACUGAAUUUUCCUUUUAGUCAGCAUUAGGGUUUUAAACCCUAAAUUGAACUUUUUCCUUUCAGCCAGCAUUAGGGUUUUAAACCCUAAACUGAGCUUCUCUAUGCAAUCAGCAUUAGGGUUUUAAACCCUAAACUGAAUUUUCCUUUUAGUCAGCAUUAGGGUUUUAAAACCCUAAACUGAACUUUUUUCCUUUCAGCUAGCAUUAGGGUUUUAAACCCUAAACUGAUCUUUUUCAUGCAAUCAGCAUUAGGGUUUUAAGCCCUAAACUGAAUUUUCCUUUUAGUCAGCAUUAGGGUUUUAAACCCUAAGCUGAACUUUUUCCUUUCAGCCAGCAUUAGGGUUUUAAACCCUAAACUGAGUUUUUUCAUGCAAUCAG